CCUACGGGAGGCAGCAGUGAGGAAUAUUGGUCAAUGGACGAGAGUCUGAACCAGCCAAGUAGCGUGAAGGAUGACUGCCCUCUGGGUUGUAAACUUCUUUUAUAUGGGAAUAAAAUGUUCCACGUGUGGGAUUUUGUAUGUACCAUAUGAAUAAGGAUCGGCUAACUCCGUGCCAGCAGCCGCGGUAAUACGGAGGAUCCGAGCAUUAUCCGGAUUUAUUGGGUUUAAAGGGAGCGUAGGUGGAUUGUUAAGUCAGUUGUGAAAGUUUGCGGCUCAACCGUAAAAUUGCAGUUGAAACUGGCAGUCUUGAGUACAGUAGAGGUGGGCGGAAUUCGUGGUGUAGCGGUGAAAUGCUUAGAUAUCACGAAGAACUCCGAUUGCGAAGGCAGUUCACUGGACUGCAACUGACACUGAGGCUCGAAAGUGUGGGUAUCAAACAGGAUUAGAUACCCUUGUAGUC
rnacentral:rRNA from 1 species